AAUGGGGACAUAACUGUUCUAAUGAAUGUGACUCUAGGUGCAAAGACAAGACAUGUGAUAGAGUUACUGGACUUUGUGUCUACGUCUGUGACAGCCAUACAAAUCUCUCCUGCCCUGCUGGUCUGGCUUCCGAGACUGGGUCCAGCGGUCUAACAUUUUCAUCAGGUGUUGGUAUCGGAGUAGCUGUUGGUGCAAUUAUUAUCAUCUUGGUUGAUGUCGUAGUGGUUAUUGUGUGUAGAACCAGAAUCGCAACGUUCAGAAACCAAAGCAAUAAUGACUCUCAAACUGCACCUCAACAACGGACUUAUGAUAGCUUAACACAAAUAAAUGAAUACUGUCACUCGUAUGAAACAUCUAAAUCUACAUUUGAAGUUAAAUUCAAGUCAGAUAAAAAGCGGGAACAAGACGUCAACAGAACAAUACAAUUUGAGAACACGUCAAAUACAGUUUAUGAAACAGUUGGAUAAUCUUUACAUUUUUUACAAUCAAACAUAAAUUGCCCAAAUCUAUACGAAUGAAUGAAUACAUGUCUAUUGUAACUGUAUUAAUAAACAAAUCUUUACAUGAAUGCCUGUUUCAGUGUUCAAGUGUUAAGGGGCCUAUAGAAAGUGUGCAAAUGGUUCUUGGAAACCUGUCUGCAUAGCAAG
rnacentral:sRNA from 1 species